rnacentral:rRNA from 1 species
CGGUAACAGCUCAAAUUUGAAAUCUGGCUCUUUCAGGGUCCGAGUUGUAAUUUGUAGACGAUGCUUUGGGUGUGGUGCCGGUCUAAGUUCCUUGGAACAGGACGUCAUAGAGGGUGAGAGCCCCGUACGGUUGGAUGCCUAGCCUCUGUGAAACUCCUUCGAC